AUUGAACGCUGGCGGCAGGCCUAACACAUGCAAGUCGAACGAGUGGCGGACGGGUGAGUAAUGUCUGGGAAACUGCCUGUUGGAGGGGGAUAACUACUGGAAACGGUAGCUAAUACCGCAUACCAUCAGAUCUGCCCAGAUGGGAUUAGCUUGUGGGUGGGGUAACGGCUCACCAAGGCGACGAUCCCGAGCUGGUCUGAGAGGAUGACCAGCCAAACGGGAACUGAGACACGGUCCAGAGUCCUACGGGAGGCAGAAGUGGGGAAUAUUGCACAAGGGGCGCAAGCCUGAUACAGCCAGGCCGCGUGUAUGAAGAAGGCCUUCGGGUUGUAAAGUACUUUCAGCGGGGAGGCGGUAGCCGAAGAAGAAGCACCGGCUAACUCCGUGCCAGCAGCCGCGGUAAUAG
rnacentral:rRNA from 1 species